rnacentral:tRNA from 1 species
GGCUUUGUAGCUCAACUGAAUAGAGCAUCUGACUACGGAUCAGAAGGUUUCAGGUUUGAAUCCUGACAAGGUCACAA